AACCCUAAAUUUCAUUUCAAAUUGAGAGCCUUUUUCAUUUUCAUUCUCUCUCAAAGAUCUGGAUUUGGAUUUGUGGAUCCAAAAGGAAAAAGAAUCAGAGAUUAUGUGUUGUUGAUCUACAAUAUCAUUGAACUUUUGGCGGGGUAAAAUCUGGAGGGCUCAUGGCAAAAAUUGAUGUUUCUACCAUUGAAGCAACCGUGAGGGAAGAUGAUGAACCGAGUGCUAAUAACACCUGCCUUCCGUCUCGCGAUUAUGUGCUUGAAGAGGAGUUUUAUUUUUUUAGGUUAAAGUUGUUCGAACCUGGCUUUAACUUGGGGUUCUUUUUGCUGUAAAUAUUAAUACGGCAAGGUCUUAGUUCCAUGUAUGUCUUUUCUCACAGAUUUAUCAUCUUGCGAUUAACCGAAGCCAGAGGUCUGAGUCAACUAUGAGAUUCUACAGCUUUUAUUGCUCGGUUAUUUCCUGUGAUUUUGUGUUGAAUUUACAUUUUUGGAAUGAGUUUGGUUGAUUGUUUCCUUUUAAUAUAGGGUUUAUAUAUGUUGAGUUGACGUAUAUGCAGUCCAUCUGGUACGUUUUGGUUUCAAGUCGAUGUGCUUUCUAAUGUGAAUGUCUUGUGUGAACAGCCAGCCAAUUGAAACAUCACUGAAUGUAUCUUCAUCCCUUUUUGAAGGUUAACAUGAAGGUAACUUUCACUUUUGACUGGGUUUCUUAACAGAGCCAUUGAGAACAUUGCUGGUGUGAAGUUUGUCAUCACGUCUGACAUGAUGUUCGCCAACAAGUGAGAAUUCCUCUCAUCAUAUAGAGGAAAAGGAGACUAAGAAGGUGAAAAGGAGUGUUGUUGAUCCUGGGGGUUAUGAGUAGUGAUGCUUUUACUCCUCGGAUUUUGAAUCGAAAUCUCCGUCACGAAGGUGUGCUGCUGAUGAUUUUACUAUGGUGGUAUGUACAUUGCAGAUUUGCAUCCAUAUGUUAAGUGGGCUGAGGAGUAUGUUAAGUGUUUACUAAUAUGAAAAAUUCACCAAUUACUUAUCAUCCAACUCAUGAAUUAACUCUUCCACCCCAGACCAAGAUAGGUGUAGGUAUCUGAAUGCGUUGACAUAGUUACUCAAACAGGAAUGAGGACUUUGGUUCUCACUGGUGAUAAAAUGGAAACAACAAUCAAUACCGGCAUUGAAAGGGGUGAAAAGAGAGGAUGUUCAACUGGCUACAAAAUUUGGGAUCAAAUAUGGGGAGAGAAUGGGUGAGGUGGAAAUCCAUGGUGAACCAGAGUACGUUAGAGCUUGUUGUGAAGCGAGUUUGAAGCGGCUUGAUGUUGAUUACAUUGAUCUUUACUAUAUUCAUCGCAUUGACACAAAAGUCCCUAUCGAAAUCACAGAGAAGAUGAAUCAAAACGGGACUCUUUGGAGGGUCAAGCCUACGGAUUUCCUUUCAGAUUGGCCCAGGGGUAAUUUCGUCAUUAUGGGGUGGGACAGUUUUUUAUAUUUCAUGGUUUCUAUUUGGGAUUCGACAAAAUUAUGCCCAGGCCCACUUCCCUUAUGACUAGGCUGAGUUACCUGUUGUGACUUCUAUGAUGGCCCAGGUAAUUCGUAUGGGCUCUGGUAAUGUUUCAAUUAUGAAGACCAAAGUCCUCCUUAUAUUGAAAGUGGGCUUCAAUGUUACUUUAAUAACGAAGGCCCACUGGGUGGGAUUUAUAAAAGCUUUAUGCGGCAAGAAGGGCUGGGCCUGGGUAUCGAGUGGAGCAUGAAGGCCCAUCAAUGGGCAUUACAAAGUAUGCAGAUCCUGUCUCGGAAUGGGGCCAUGGGGCACUCAAGCAAACGAUAUGGGCCUAAGUUAUGGGGUUGGGGCUGGUCGAAAAAAGAUAAGCAAAGGAUGAGGGCUGGAACAAAGCACACCCCCGUGAGAUAAUGACCGAAGUUCUUAAAGCUUUGCAAGAACUGAAUGUGUGUUGGAAAAAGAUAGGCCACUACAACAUGAAAUGCAGGUGGGCCCCUGGCAACAACUCUAUGCAAAGUAAUCCUUACUUUGGAGAUGAGUUGAGUAUUGUACAGACCGACGGUGCUUUGACCACUCCCAAUGUGCUCAAAUUUGAAGUCCAGCUUUACAAAACCCGCCAAGACAAGUAUUUGCUGGAUCUACAGAGGAUUCAAGGAACAUAGUUUUUGUUUUUUGAUCUCUGUGCGGCGUUUCUCGCUCAGCUUCAUGUCCUGUAGAGCGAGUGAGCGGUUAAUAUAGCAUCAUCAUCAUGAUAGUGAUUAUCAUAGUAUGAUGAACAGCUUUCUCCCCUGAAUUCAAAUGGUGAUGAAAAGCUAGGCUGUUGUAAAUACUAAGUUUACUUGUUUCUGUUAUUAGGGUACUGUACUAUGCUCCGUAUGUACUAUUGAGAACCGAUGUUUUUGCCGACUCAUUACGCAAAGAGAAAGAAGGCUUUAUGGCCAUGAAAGGGUGUUAACUGCCUUAAAGGGCUCUCUUUUUUUCAUUUCAUGUUGAAUUCAUAUAUACAAUUGAUUAUGUUUUGUAAUCUUGUUUGAUGUUCAUUGGCUUUGUAGAAAUUCAUGCCCAUUUGUAUGGUUCGAAUAAAAUAUUUUUAUCAUAAGGUUUGAUAUUAUAUAUAUAUCAAUUUCCAUCGUUGGUUUGCGCUAGGUAUUUUUGGGAGUUUUGGCUUUUCACCACUGAAGUUUAUUUUCUUUGAUUUUUUCCCCACAUGUAUGGAAGUAAGAGGGAAAAUACUAGAAUAGAUAUGCAGAACAUAGAGCAAAAGAUCCAUACACAAAGGAGAGAAUCUGGAGGUGGGCACGGUGGACCAUCGGUGAUUGUUUCCCCUGGUCACUUAAACCUAGAUUAGCCGGCUGUGGCUUCUAGAAAAAAAGGCAACAUGUUGCUGCCAUGCCUCCGGCGGCAGCAACAACGGGCGGAGAUAGCCAUGUUUUGGAGUAGAAUAGGCGGUGAUGAAGGUUCAGGAUCACAGUAGAAGAUCUGGUUGCAUCCGUGUGUCAUGAGAUUGCGGAUUGACUUUCCGACAAGUCGGCUAGGGUUCCGGCGAGAUUCCGAUUACCCGAUUCAGGUUCGCAUGUCUCAGCCCAAAUUAUCUCAGUGUAAAUAUCAUUAUUAAAAGCUAAAAAAUCAUGUUUAUGAAUAUUUCCUUUGAGAUCAAGGUUAUAUGAGAUAGAGUUCGUAUGUCCAGCACACGGCAACACCCUACUAUCUAAAGAAAAUAUAGCAUUUGAAUACAUGCUUAAUUAGACGACUAAAUAUCAAAAAUACCCUUUUUACUAUUGGCCAAUUAUGUAGUUUUAGUGUGAAAGGUCAAAAUCCUGUUACAAGUAACUAAAUUGAUCUAUCUUUUCCCCAUUCAAUAUGCUGCUGAAACAUGAAUUUAUGGAGAAAAUUGUCAAGUAAGAACAUUAACGGGACUGGUGGUUUUACCAUUAGAUUUUUAAAGUUUGGAGAGGUUAAAACCAGUUAUAUUUUAAUUUAGUUGGUCUAUCUAUACUAUAGUAGUUUAGCAGUGAAUGAAACCCAAGUAAAAGCAUAGUGGAAUGUUUUGGGUCAAGGGAAUAGGAACAUGUUUUGGGUUGAUAACUGGUCAAAUGAUAGAAGCUUGGAAAAUAGUUUUCGUUACUGUACCAAUUUAGCCACUAAAAAAAGAACCUUGGUGGUGGAAUGAUACAAAAAGUGUAAUAAUAGUGUCAUUUGGGACUGGGGUUGGGUUAGAGUGUCGGGUAAUAAGGAGGGAAAAAUGGAAAUGGCAAGUUUGAACAUGGUUCUAGGCUUCUAGCACAGCAAGUCAUAACAAAAAAGAUUUGACUCCAAAAGAGAGUAUCUUUUCAUAGAAAGCGAUAGACAGGAAGAUUCCUACUAUGAACGCUAGCUUUAGCAAACAGCGGCAUACCAAUUCAGAAUUCACUAUAUACGUUAUGUGGCGUACUGGACGAGUCAGCGGACCAUGUGCUGGUCAGAUGCACGCUCGCACACAUGGUCCGGCAGCGGCUAUUCUGGAGGAUGAAAGUCCGGACAGGCCGCAAGUUUGACUCGGGGGGUGAGUUGCUACAAAGUGUGAAUGGGUUGGGUUUAUCCUCACACAAGAAGAAAGUUAUACAUGCGGUGUAUCUAUUAGCGCUUUGGAGGGUAUUGUUUUGGAGAAAUCAGAGGACAGAAGUACAUCGGUAUACACGGUUGUUGAAGAAAAAAGCAAACAUCGUUCGAUUGGUGAAGGCAUAGAUCAAGCAUAACAUGGGAGGAAUGGAGAAGAUUUAUGUAAUUCUAAAGAUUAUAGUGUGGAAUGUAGUAUGCCAUGAUGUUGCUGUACUAUUUGGCUACAAUAGCAACUUGCUAUAGUAGUGUGUUUUGGUUAUAUUUGAAUGAAAACUCCAUUGCCUUAAAAAAAGUUUAGGCUUUCAUUAUGCUUGUGUUGAACUCCAACAAUGGCAAUUACAAUUCCUAAGAGUACCAUCAUUUAUUUA